ensembl:ncRNA W06B3.6 ncRNA
UUUGUUUUAGUGUAUAUCAAGAACAAUCAGCUCCGAGAUGUUGGAAGUUUUCAAACGAUGAGAAAGGACGGUGUAAUCGGUAAAGAAAACAAACCAUUUAGUUUUGAGUAUACACGAAAAGUGAAAGCAAAAGAAAAGUGAGAAUCAAACUCGAUUGCGUAAUUUCAACUAAUGCC